rnacentral:rRNA from 1 species
CCGCGUGAGUGAAGAAGGGUUUCGGCUCGUAAAGCUCUGUUGUUGGUGAAGAAGGACAGGGGUAGUAACUGACCUUUGUUUGACGGUAAUCAAUUAGAAAGUCACGGCUAACUACGUGCCAGCAGCCGCGGUAAU